rnacentral:rRNA from 1 species
AUAGCAAUAUCCUAGCGGCGAACGGUCGCGUAACACGUAAGCAACCUGCCCCGAAGACCGGGACAACAUCUCGAAAGGGGUGCUAAUACCGGAUGUGGCCGUCUGGGGACAUCCUCGGGCGAUUAAAUCCAGCAAUGGGCUUCGGGAGGGGCUUGCGUCCUAUCAGCUAGUUGGUGGGGUAACGGCCUACCAAGGCGACGACGGGUAGCUGGUCUGAGAGGACGAUCAGCCGGACUGGGACUGAGAUACGGCCCAGACUCCUACGGGGGGCAGCAAUUAGGAAUCUUGCACAAUGGGCGAAAGCCUGAUGCAGCGACGCCGCGUGAGGGAGGAAGUCCUUCGGGAUGUAAACCUCUUUUAUCAGGGAAGAAAAAAAUGACGGUACCUGGUGAAUAAGCUCCGGCUAACUACGUGCCAGCAGCCGCGGUAAUACGUAGGGAGCGAGCGUUGUCCGAAGUUACUGGGCGUAAAGCGCGCGUAGGCGGGUUUGAAAGUCGGAGGUGAAAGGCUGGGGCUCAACCCCAUGCAGUGCCUCCGAUACUUCAAGUCUUGAGUGCGGUAGGGAGAAGUGGAAUGGCUGGUGUAGCGGUGAAAUGCGUAGAUAUCAGUCGGAACACCGGUGGCGAAGGCGGCUUCUUGGGCCGUUACUGACGCUGAGGCGCGAAAGCCAGGGGAGCGAACGGGAUUAGAUACCCCGGUAGUCCUGGCCGUAAACGAUGGAUACUAGGUGUAGGGGGUAUCGACCCCCCCUGUGCCGCAGCUAACGCAUUAAGUAUCCCGCCUGGGGAGUACGGCCGCAGGUUGAAA